AUGACUUUGAUCUGCGUCCUCAUCUGGACUCUCCUCUGCUGCUGCUUCACAGAGUCCAGAGGACAGAUCACAGUGACUCAGCCUGGAGCAGUGAGCUCUGCUGUGGGAGGAUCUGUGAACAUCAACUGUAGGACCAGUGAGGAUGUUUAUGUUAAGACUGGGGUUUUCACCAGCUUCCACUUUUUAGCCUGGUACCAACAGAAAGAUGGAAAACCUCCCAAACGCCUAAUUUACACUGCUAGCAGCAGAGAAUCAGGGAUUCCAGCUCGUUUUACAGGCAGUGGAUCAAACUCUGACUUCACUCUGACCAUCAGUGGAGUCCAGACUGAAGAUGCAGCAGUUUAUUACUGUCAGAGUUAUCACUAUAUCAACAGUCAGCUUGUGUUCACACAGUGAAAAACAGUCGUACA